rnacentral:rRNA from 1 species
ACGGGGCCGCACAAGCGGUGGAGUAUGUGGUUUAAUUCGAUGCAACGCGAAAAACCUUUACCUACCCUUGACAUGUCCGGAAUCCUGCAGAGAUGCGGGAGUGCCCGAAAGGGAAUCGGAACACAGGUGCUGCAUGGCUGUCGUCAGCUCGUGUCGUGAGAUGUUGGGUUAAGUCCCGCAACGAGCGCAACCCUUAUCAUUAGUUGCUACGCAAGGGCACUCUAAUGAGACUGCCGGUGACAAACCGGAGGAAGUGGGGAUGACGUCAAGUCCUCAUGGCCCUUAUGGGUAGGGCUUCACACGUCAUACAAUGGUCGGUACAGAGGGUUGCCAAGCCGCGAGGUGGAGCCAAUCCCAGAAAGCCGAUCGUAGUCCGGAUUGUUCUCUGCAACUCGAGAGCAUGAAGUCGGAAUCGCUAGUAAUCGCGGAUCAGCAUGUCGCGGUGAAUACGUUCCCGGGUCUU